ACGAACGCUGGCGGCGUGCUUAACACCUGCCAGUCGAACGGAAAGGCCCUGCUUUUGUGGGGUGCUCGAGUGGCGAACGGGUGAGUAACACGUGAGUAAACUGCCCUUGACUUUGGGAUAACUUCAGGAAACUGGGGCUAAUACCGGAUAGGAGCUCCUGCUGCAUGGUGGGGGUUGGAAAGUUUCGGCGGUUGGGGAUGGACUCGCGGCUUAUCAGCUUGUUGGUGGGGUAGUGGCUUACCAAGGCUUUGACGGGUAGCCGGCCUGAGAGGGUGACCGGCCACAUUGGGACUGAGAUACGGCCCAGACUCCUACGGGAGGCAGCAGUGGGGAAUAUUGCACAAUGGGCGGAAGCCUGAUGCAGCAACGCCGCGUGCGGGAUGACGGCCUUCGGGUUGUAAACCGCUUUCGCCUGUGACGAAGCGUGAGUGACGGUAAUGGGUAAAGAAGCACCGGCUAACUACGUG
rnacentral:rRNA from 1 species